rnacentral:rRNA from 1 species
CUUGCUUCAUGAUUCAGACCUUGGUGAGUGGCGGACGGGUGAGUAACACGUGGGUAACCUGCCCAGAAGUGGGGGAUAACAUUUGGAAACAAGUGCUAAUACCGCAUAACAACAUUUAUCUCAUGAUUUAUGUUUAAAAGAUGGUUCUGCUAUCUCUUCUGGAUGGACCCGCGGCGUAUUAGCUAGUUGGUGAGGUAAUAGCUCACCAAGGCGAUGAUACGUAGCCGACCUGAGAGGGUAAUCGGCCACAUUGGGACUGAGACACGGCCCAAACUCCUACGGGAGGCAGCAGUAGGGAAUCUUCCACAAUGGACGAAAGUCUGAUGGAGCAACGCCGCGUGAGUGAAGAAGGUUUUCGGAUCGUAAAACUCUGUUGUUGAAGAAGAACAUAUGUGAGAGUAACUGUUCACGUACUGACGGUAUUCAACCAGAAAGCCACGGCUAACUACGUGCCAGCAGCCGCGGUAAUACGUAGGUGGCAAGCGUUGUCCGGAUUUAUUGGGCGUAAAGAGAAUGUAGGCGGUUCAUUAAGUUUGAAGUGAAAGC